rnacentral:rRNA from 1 species
AUUGAACGCUGGCGGCAGGCCUAACACAUGCAAGUCGAACGAGUGGCGGACUGGUGAGUGAUGUAUGAGAACCUGCCUGAUGGAGGGGUAUAACUACUGGAAACGGUAGCUAAUACCGCAUACAAUCAGAUUGGCCCAGAUGGGAUUAGCUAGUUGGGGGGGUAACGGCUCACCAAGGCGACGAUCCCUAGCUGGUCUGAGAGGCUGACCAGCCACACUGGAACUGAGACACGGUCCAGACUCCUACGGGAGGCAGCAGUUGGGAAUAUUGGACAAUGGGCGAAAGCCUGAUGCAGCAAUGCCGCGUGUAUGAAGAAGGCCUUCGGGUUGUAAAACACUUUCAGCGGGGAGGCGGUACCCGCAGAAGAAGCACCGGCUAACUCCGUGCCAGCAGCCGCGGUAAUUC